GACAAAGCCCAUGGAAAUUAUCACCGCCAAGCCCAUGUUGAUUCCACCGAUGAUCAACCGGAACUAUUUUACCUGCGAAAACAAGCAGAAACGGCGGCAAUGAACCAAGCUCAUAGAUCCUCAUUCUCUUCUGAAGCUCCAUCCAUUCCGUCAUCUGCGUCGUAUAAUCUCCGAUCCGCCACCGCGCUAAAUCAAUCACCAUAACUCCGGUGUUGAAGUAACACGCUUUCCGAGUCGCGAAUGUUAACGAAAGUGAAGGAUUCGACCAAAACGUAGGGGUAAAAUAGUAACUGAAAUUCGCGUUGCAGUAUUCAGGUGCAGCUAAAACGGCUUCGUUUGUGAGAUUCGUUGCAGCGAGUUUUGCGAUAUCAUCGACAAGAAUGAGAUCAGAAUCAAGGUAAACGAUUUUGUGAACACAGUUUGGAAGAAGGUUAGAGAGGUAAUUUCGCGCGUAGUUGAGAGGUGUAUCGAGUGCAGAGCGUAUUGAGGUUGAGAUUAGACCUGAAAUGGUUUCAGUGUUGAAGGGGUAGAUUUGGAAUUUUAAGUAUGGGAAUGAGUUUAAGAGGGUGGUGUUAAGGGUGACGGUGGAGGUAGUUUUCGAUGCGGCGGUGAUGAAGUGGAAGAUGGUGCUUGUUUAAAGAGUUGAGUGGUGGUACAGGUGACAUGUUGAUAAGUUGAGAAGAGAAAUAAGAGAGUUAGGAGAUUGAAAUGAGAAAUGGUGAAGACCAUGGAUGUUAAUGUUACCAUGGCCUC
rnacentral:lncRNA from 1 species